rnacentral:rRNA from 1 species
CUUAGUUCGUGGAGUGAUCUGUCUGCUUAAUUGCGUUUCAAAAUUUAACUUGAGGACCGGGUUUUGGUUUGGCUAGUGGUCCUACGAUGACUGUGAACUGUCAUGUCUUCGGAUGUACGACUAUCGGUCUAGGAUCACAUGACUUGCCCCUGGGACUCUUUUGAACGCAACGGACGUGAUUGCAACCCCUUGUUGAGAUUAGAGAUAGUCUCGAUAUUCACUGGCCAAACUGGCUGCUUUAUGCAGUCUUGUUGAAUGGUGGAUAAACUCGGGGGACUGCUGACUAUAACCAUUUCUCAAAACAGAGGAAGGUUGCGGCAAUAACAGGUCUGUGAUGCCCUCAGAUGUCCCGGGCUGCACACGUGCUACAAUGAGUGGCGCAAUGUGCUAAUG